GGCCUGUGGUUAACAGGGCCCACACAAGUAAACUUACACUGUUUUCAAUUUACAGUAAAUAAUGGUUAUAGCGAACAUGAUUAUAAUGAAAUGCAAUUACAGCAAAGGAUUUCCAUUCCAUGUUACUUUACUACAUGUUGUAAACUUGACGGAUGUAGCGAAUUACGCUUAUAAACAAGCAAAAUGGCCCGUCCCUGACACUUAGUUAUAAGAGUGUUUUACUGUACACAAUUCCUGUUAUUUAUUUUAUCAUUUUUAUGACUCAUAAGAAGAGAUUCUCUGGUGUAACAUUUUAAAAACAAAACACAAACAUUGGUAUGGAAAAGGAGCUGACAAAUUUGUCUCUAGUUGUCAGGUGAUCCUUUGUAUGAUUAUUAUUUUUUCAUCUUCGAGCCUUGUUUAAUGACAUGACAUUUUUUGAUAAUUUAUGAAAAAGAGUGAUUAUGACGUCAGUCAUAAAGCAGACAACACACCUUUACAUCUUCUCAUCCAGAUGUGUUUAAACAUUUGCAAUAAAAAGGUCAAUGGCAAUUGGAGGGUAAAUUGGAAGGGGGGUUGAAAUUAUGUAUUGAAACGCACAACUUUAUCUCUUUGAUUUCGUUGUGUGUCUGAUAUUUCCCACGCUGACCCCCAACACUAGACCUGUGCUGGUCCUGUAACGACACAAGAGUUGUCUCUCUUUGAUUAGUGCCAUCUACCGUCAUCUGGCUCUGCCAGGUUCGUGCGUGGAAUGUUGCAUAUCAUUCUGUUAACUUUUGGUGGCAUCCACUAGACUUAAGAAUUGUCUUCAGCACAAGUUUUUAAGAGAUUUUCUCAUUGUUAUUCAAAGUAAGUUGAUUUGGUGGUCUAACGAAAAAACGUUAACAUGUGCAUGUACAUGUACAUUUUACAAAGUGUACAUUGUGAACAUAAAUAAAUAAUGUUCAUUUGAAAAUAAACAUUGGAAAUGGAAAUUUUAUUUAGUUACUCGCUUGUUAAUCUGUGUAUGUACAUGGUUUAUAAGAAUAAACGCGAUGAAAAUUUA
rnacentral:misc_RNA from 1 species